rnacentral:rRNA from 1 species
CCUACGUGAGGCUGCAGUGGGGAAUAUUGGGCAAUGGAGGCAACUCUGACCCAGCAACGCCGCGUGAAUGAUGAAGGUCUUCGGAGUGUAAAGUUCUGUGAUGGGGGAUGAACACAAUGACGGUACCCCAAUAGCAAGCCACGGCUAACUACGUGCCAGCAGCCGCGGUAAUACGGAGGUGGCAAGCGUUAUCAGGAAUGACUGGGCGUAAGGAGUGCGUAGGUGGUUUAGUAAGUUGGCGGUGUAAUUCCGGGGCUCAACCUCGGCGUUACCGCCAAAACUAUUAGACUAGAGUACAGGAGGGGUAGGUGGAAUUCCUAGUGUAGCGGUGGAAUGCGUAGAUAUUAGGAGGAACAUCAGGGGCGAAGGCGACUUACUGGACUGUAACUGACACUGAGGCACGAAAGCGUGGGGAGCAAACAGGAUUAGAUACCCGAGUAGUC